UCGUGGUCGUGAGAUGUUGGGUUAAGUCCUGCAACGAGCGCAACCCUCACCUCUUGUUGCCAUCAGGUCAUGCUGGGCACUCUAGAGGAACUGCCCCGGUCAACGGGGAGGAAGGCGGGGAUGACGUCAAGUCAUCAUGCCCCUUACGUCCUGGGCUACACACGUGCUACAAUGGCCAGUACAAAGGGAUGCGACGCCGCGAGGUAGAGCUAAACCCAAAAAGCCGGUCUAAGUUCAGAUUGGAGUCUGCAACUCGACUCCAUGAAGGAGGAAUCGCUAGUAAUCGC
rnacentral:rRNA from 1 species